rnacentral:rRNA from 1 species
AGUCGAGGGGUAACAGGGGUAGCAAUACCUGCUGACGACCGGCGUACGGGUGAGUAACGCGUAUGCAACCUGCCCUAUACAGGAGGAUAGCCCGGAGAAAUUCGGAUUAAUACUCCAUGUAGCAUUUUUUUCGCAUGAAUUAGAUGUUAAAGAUUUAUCGGUAUAGGAUGGGCAUGCGUCCCAUUAGCUAGUUGGUGAGGUAACGGCUCACCAAGGCAUCGAUGGGUAUGGGGUCUUAAAGGAUGGUCCCACACACUGGCACUGAGACACGGGCCAGACUCCUACGGGAGGCAGCAGUGAGGAAUAUUGGUCAAUGGGUGAGAGCCUGAACCAGCCAUCCCGCGUGCAGGAUGACGGUCCUAGUGAUUGUAAACUGCUUUUCUAUGAGAUGAAUAAGAAUUACGUGUAGUUCGAUGACCGUAUUAUAGGAAUAAGCAUCGGCUAACUCCGUGCCAGCAGCCGCGGUAAUACGGAGGAUGCAAGCGUUAUCCGGAUUUAUUAGGUUUAAAGGGUGCGUAGGUGGGCGUUUAAGUCAGUGGUUAAAGCCAUUAGCUUAACUAAUGUAUGCCAUUGAUACUGGAUGUCUUGAAUGUGGUAGAGGUAGGCGGAAUGUGUUGUGUAGCGGUGAAAUGCUUAGAUAUAACACAGAACACCGAUUGCGAAGGCAGCUUACUAUUCCAUUAUUGACGCUGAUGCACGAAAGCGUGGGGAUCAAACAGGAUUAGAUACCCUGGUAGUCCACGCUGUAAACUAUGAUCACUCGUUUUUGGCGAUAUAUAGUCAGAGACUGAGCGAAAGCAUUAAGUGAUCCACCUGGGGAGUACGUUCGCAAGAAUGAAACUCAAAGGAAUUGACGGGGGCCCGCACAAGCGGAGGAACAUGUGGUUUAAUUCGAUGAUACGCGAGGAACCUACCUGGGCUUAAUGUAUAGUGCAUAAUGUGGAAAACACUUUUUCCUUCCGGACUCUUUAC